CAGGAUGGUCUCGAUCUCCUGACCUUGUGAUCUGCCCGCCUUGGGCAGAUCCCAAAGUGCUGGGAUUACAGGCGUGAGCCACCGUGCCCAGCCCCUUAUUUUUUAUUUUUUGUAGAGACAGUCUCACCAUUUUUCUCAGGCUGGUCUUGAACUCCUGCACUCAAGCAAUCCUCCCAUCUCAGCCUCCCAGAGUGCUGGGAUUACAGAAAGAACCAAAGGGCUGUGGGUUCCCACCCACAGCAGCCAACAUAGGAGCUCAGGUGUCCAGGUGGCAGGAUGAGAGAGGACCAAUUUGGCUUAGAGCCCCAGAACCAAGAAAGAGCCCUGAGCUGGCCUAGUGCUGGAGUCAGAAACAGAGCCAGCCCUGGAGAAGGUGAGGAUGGGAAAUGGAGAGGCAGUGAGUGUUCACAGAAGGAGCUUAUCUGGUGAACAAGCCAUGGUCCCCGCCCUUGAAGAGGCUGCCAUGCCCAGGGAUGCCAGGCAAGGAAGUAGGCAGGGCUCCACCAAGCUAAGCAUUAGGGGUAGAAAGGCGGGAGGCUAGACCUGAGCUGGGGCUGUUCCUACAGAAGGCCCAAAGGUGAGAAAGUGUGGCAUCUUUCUGAAAAUCCAACAUGGGGCUCCUAGGCUGUAUGUAGCAGGGAG
rnacentral:lncRNA from 1 species